rnacentral:lncRNA from 1 species
UGUUUUUCCCCAUAGGACCAAUGUUAAACAUUUCCCAAGUUUCCAUGGCAAUGGCAGCCAUUUUGAAAAUUCCAAGUACUGUUGGUACCUCAAGGCACCACUGCCAACAUUUACAUUAAGUUUCAAGAGGUUGCCUCUUAUAACGAAAGAUUUAAAAUUUUGAUUUUUUUUUACAUUUUUGCAGUUUCCAUUGUAACGGCGGCCAUUUUUUACCAUUCCAAUGUCUCUUGCACAACUUUACAUGGCGGUUCAUAUUAGGGUAUAGUUCCAUCAACAUGGGUCUGACCAGUUCCGAGAAAUAGCAUGGACAAAAUGUGUGGAAGAAUAAAAAUAAUAAAAAGAAAAAAAAGAAACGUACAAUAACAAGAUGUCACCCCAACUCCGUUGAGGGUGCCAUAAUAAAAAGAAAAAAAGAAACGAACAAUAACAAGAUGUCACCCCAACUCCGUUGAGGGUGCCAUAACUAGAUUUGUAAUUGCUAGCAAUAACGGAUGGCACCCUUGUCCCCCCAUUGCCAGGCAAGCGGCAGCCAUUUUGAAAAUUCCAAAGUCAAAGAGUGCAUCUACACAUGCAAGUUAUCAUUUUUGUAAAAUUUCAUUAAGUUUGGAGCAUAUUGAAAUUUUGGACAAUUUUGCUGUUUCCAUGGUUACGGCGGCC